rnacentral:tRNA from 1 species
UGGGUUGUGGUUCAGUGGUAGAGCGUUUGCCUUGCAAGUGUGAGACACUGGGUUUGAUUCUCAGCACCACAU